GAAAGAGAAGAAGAGCGAAUGGGGGAUGCCUAGGCUUCUGGAGGCGAAGAAGGACGCGGACAGCUGCGAAAAUUCACGGGGAACUGCUAACAAGUUAAGAUCCGUGAGUAUCCGAAUGGGACAACCCGUAUAGUUGAAGACUAUACACCAACGAAAAGUUGGGGCAUACGUGGGGAACUGAAACAUCUUAGUACCCACAGGAAAAGAAAGAAUACUCGAUUCCCUUAGUAGUGGCGAGCGAAGAGGGAAGAGCCUAAACCAUAGUGAUUUCGGUCAUUGUGGGGUUGUAGGAGUAUCGCUGAAUGAUGAUAUAAAUGAACUGGAAAAUACUGGAAAGUAUUGGCGAAGAGGGUGAAACCCCCGUACAGGUAAGUUUAUGUUGUUGUUAGAUACCACCUGAGUAGGGCGGGACACGUGAAAUCCUGUCUGAAUCUGCGGCGACCAUGCCGUAAGGCUAAAUAGAUCCAGAAGACCGAUAGUGAACCAGUACCGUGAGGGAAAGGUGAAAAGAACCCUGAAUAAGGGAGUGAAAAAGACCCUGAAACCGUUCGUUUACAAGCGGUCGAAGCUCACAAGAUGAGCGACGGCGUGCCUUUUGCAUAAUGAGCCUACGAGUUACUUUAGUAUAGCGAGACUAAGUUGUUCAGCGACGAAGUCGAAGCGAGAGCGAGUCUGAAGAGGGCGUGUAGUUAUACUAAGUAGACGCGAAACCUAGUGAUCUACCCUUGUCCAGGAUGAAGUUGUCGUAACAGACAAUGGAGGUCCCAACCAGUUUCCGUUGAAAAGGAUUUGGAUGAGAUGAGGGUAGGGGUGAAAGGCUAAUCAAACUGGGAGAUAGCUCGUACUCCCCGAAAUGUCUUUAGGGACAGCCUCGACUAUGCUUUAUAGAGGUAGAGAUACUGAUAGGAUGCGAGGGCUUCACCGCCUAUCAAAUCCUGCCAAACUCCGAAUGCUAUAAAGUUAAGGUCGGGAGUGAGUUAGCGGGUGCUAAUAUCCGUUAGCGAAAGGGUAAGAGCCCAGCCCCUCGGCUAAGGCCCCCAAGCGCAGUAUAAGUUGAGACAGAACGAAGUGACAUCGCCUAGACAGCUAGGAUGUUAGCUUGGAAGCAGCUAUUCAUUCAAAGAGUGCGUAACAGCUCACUAGUCGAGCGAAGUUGCGUGGAUGAUGAGCGGGCAUCAAGACUGCCGCCGAAGCCAGGGACUGUAGUAGAGAUAUUACAGUGGUAGGGGAGCAUUGAUACCAGCGUAGAAGAUGUGAUGUGAGUCAUGUUGGAGCGGUAUGAAACGAAAAUGUAGGCAUAAGUAACGAUAAUGUAUGUAGAAACAUACACACCGAAAACCCAAGGUUUCCUGAGCAACGCUAAACGGCUCAGGGUAAGCCGGGGACUAAGCAAAACCCGAAAGGGGUAUGCGAUGUACAACCUGUUAAUAUUCAGGUGCUUGUUAUGCAGUUUGUGUAAGAGACCGAGAAGUGAAACUACCGCCACCUGACGGAAUAGGUGGUAUAAGGUCAAAGACGAAAGUUGAAGGCUGAAAGUACCGAGCGUAUUCGUACAAUCGGAUAGAGUAGGUAAGCAUGCUUGCAAGAAAAUCUUACCAAAGUUAAGCGUAUAACAACCCGUACUGUAAACCGACACAGGUGGGUGAGGAGAGAAUCCUAAGGUGCUCGAGUGAAUCACGGCUAAGGAACUAGGCAAAUUGACCCCGUAACUUCGGGAUAAGGGGACCCUAUCGAGAGGUAGGGCGCAGAGAAAUGGCCCAGGCGACUGUUUAUCAAAAACAUAUGGCUAUGCGAAAUCGAUAAGAUGACGAAUAUGGCCUGACACCUGCCCGGUGCUGGAAGGUUAAGAGGGGGGCUUAGCACGUAAGUGCGAAGGUCUGAAUCGAAGCCCCAGUAAACGGCGGCCGUAACUAUAACGGUCCUAAGGUAGCGAAAUUCCUUGUCGGGUAAGUUCCGACCUGCACGAAUGGUGUAACG
rnacentral:rRNA from 1 species